rnacentral:rRNA from 1 species
UACGUAGGGUGCAAGCGUUAAUCGGAAUUACUGGGCGUAAAGCGUGCGCAGGCGGUUUCGUAAGUCUGUCGUGAAAUCCCCGGGCUUAACCUGGGAAUGGCGAUGGAGACUGCGAGGCUAGAGUUUGGCAGAGGGGGGGUAGAAUUCCACGUGUAGCAGUGAAAUGCGUAGAGAUGUGGAGGAACACCGAUGGCGAAGGCAGCCCCCCCUGGGUCAAAACUGACGCUCAUGCACGAAAGCGUGGGGAGCAAACAGG